rnacentral:rRNA from 1 species
AGUGAACGCUGGCGGUAGGCCUAACACAUGCAAGUCGAACGGCAGCACAGUAAGAGCUUGCUCUUACGGGUGGCGAGUGGCGGACGGGUGAGGAAUACAUCGGAAUCUACUUUUUCGUGGGGGAUAACGUAGGGAAACUUACGCUAAUACCGCAUACGACCUACGGGUGAAAGCAGGGGAUCUUCGGACCUUGCGCGAAUGAAUGAGCCGAUGUCGGAUUAGCUAGUUGGCGGGGUAAAGGCCCACCAAGGCGACGAUCCGUAGCUGGUCUGAGAGGAUGAUCAGCCACACUGGAACUGAGACACGGUCCAGACUCCUACGGGAGGCAGCAGUGGGGAAUAUUGGACAAAGGGCGAAAGCCUGAUCCAGCCAUACCGCGUGGGUGAAGAAGGCCUUCGGGUUGUAAAGCCCUUUUGUUGGGAAAGAAAAGCAGCAGGUUAAUACCCCGCUGUUCUGACGGUACCCAAAGAAUAAGCACCGGCUAACUUCGUG